rnacentral:piRNA from 1 species
GGGCACGGAGCAGGCGCCAUGGUGAGGAG